AGAGUUUGAUCCUGGCUCAGGAUGAACGCUGGCGGCGUGCCUAAUACAUGCAAGUCGAACGAGGUGCUUUUGUAGCAAUACGAGAGUAUCCUAGUGGCGAACGGGUGAGUAACGCGUUGGCGACCUACCCCAAAGUGUGGGAUAACAGUCCGAAAGGACUGCUAAUACCGCAUGUGGUCAUUGGGUUUAGAAACCGGUGACUAAAGGAGCAAUUCGCUUUGGGAGGGACCUGCGUCCCAUCAGCUAGUUGGUGAGGUAAUGGCUCACCAAGGCGACGACGGGUAGGGGACCUGAGAGGGUGACCCCCCACAAUGGAACUGAAACACGGUCCAUACACCUACGGGUGGCAGCAGUAGGGAAUAUUGCUCAAUGGGCGAAAGCCUGAAGCAGCAACGCCGCGUGUGUGAUGAAGGCCUUCGGGUCGUAAAGCACUUUUCUGGGAGAUGAGAAAGGACAGUAUCCCAGGAAUAAGUCUCGGCUAACUACGUGCCAGCAGCCGCGGUAAUAC
rnacentral:rRNA from 1 species